GGGAACAUAGCUCAGUUGGGAGAGCAUCUGCCUUACAAGCAGAGGGUCACAGGUUCGAGUCCUGUUGCUCCCA
rnacentral:tRNA from 1 species